rnacentral:rRNA from 1 species
UACGUAGGGUGCAAGCGUUGUCCGGAAUUAUUGGGCGUAAAGGGCUCGUAGGCGGUCCAUCACGUCGGGAGUGAAAAGCUGGGGCUUAACCCCAGUCCUGCUUCCGAUACGGGUGGACUAGAGGUAGGCAGGGGAGAACGGAAUUCCUGGUAUAGCGGUGAAAUGCGCAGAUAUCAGGAGGAACACCGGUGGCGAAGGCGGCUUCCUGGCCGAGUACUGACGCUGAGGCACGAAAGCGUGGGGAGCGAACGGG